UUACCACGCAGAUAUGCGCAUGAAUGAGACACGCAUACUUUUAACAAACUUUGCUUUUACAUCAAGUUGAUUGAAACCUCCUGAUCCAGGUCUUUAGGUGUCCGUGUACAACCAUGAGGUUUAUAUCGCAGCUUUGUUUGUUCAUUGUUACUUUGUUGGCCCUAGUCUCACCAGUAGCAGCGAUGAGCAAGUAUGAAGUGAUCGUGCUAAUUGUUGCCAUUGGGAUCGCUGUGUUGGUGAUAGCUCUUCUUAUUUUGAUCUGCUUUACUCUUCGCUUCUACAGACAAAUGAAGAAGUGACCUGCGGUUAAAUUGAGACGAGGAAGAUUGAUAGAAUGAUGCACGACACCACAAAAACAUUACGCACUAGUCAAGUACCCGGAUGCAAGUACCCGGAUGCAACAGCUGACUCACACGCGCAUACCAACAACUAAUAUAGGGCGGGGUUUUCUACGCUAGAACAAUUCAUAUUUUUGUAACAUAUUUUUGUAAAAUAAAAUACAUAUAUUGUACCUAA